GUGGGGGUCUUCUCGUCCAAAGAAGAGAGGAAAGUUUGCGGCGCCGGUGGUGAGGGUGCGUCGAAGCGGGCGGGGCCCGGACCGGGGCCGGCGGCGGCGGCGCUUGGUCGGGGAGCAGCAGCCGGGGGGCCCCCGCUGGAUUUUUGUAGGGGGGGUGGUAUCGCCCCCUCCUUCUCCUCCCCCCAGGGGUGAAAGUGCAAGAGGAAGUGCAGCCGCUGCCAUCUUUCCUCCGCUCCAAACACACAGGGACGGACGGAGCCGGCAGCCCGGAGCCGCCGCCGGACCCCCGUCCCUCCCGGCUGCAGCCGCCGCGCCGCGCACGCCCCUUCCCGCGGCGGCUCCGCGGCCGCAGCGCCUCGUGGCGGCCGGGCCCGGGCGGGGCUCGCGCGGCCGCGCGCGCGCCUCGGCCGCCCGAGCCUUUUGUCUCGCCCCCCCCGCGCCGCGCGAGCCCCUCGCGCUGUGCAGGGAGCGCCGCGCGCGCGCCGCCGGCCCGGGCAGGGGCGGGGAACGAGCAGGAGGAGGCGGCGCGCGCCGCCGGGCGGCCCGAGAGCGCGCGCGCCCCCUGCGGGCGCCGGCGGGGCGGCGCAGCCCCCAUGGAGCGGGUGAGCGAGGCCGCCGCCUGCGGCCCCUCGUCGGGCUGCUACACCUACCAGGUGAGCCGGCACAGCGCCGACGUGCUGCACAGCCUCAACCAGCAGCGCAAGAACGGCGGCCGUUUCUGCGACGUGCUCCUGCGCGUGGGCGACGAGAGCUUCCCGGCGCACCGCGCCGUGCUGGCCGCUUGCAGCGAGUACUUCGAGUCGGUGUUCAGCGCGCAGCUCGGCGACGGGGCAGGUGGCGGCGGCGGCGGCGCGGAGGGGAGCGCGGCGGAGGCGGCGGCCGGCGGGGCUGCGGCGGCGACCGGCGGCGCCCCCGGGGGCGGGCGGGAGCUGGAGAUGCACACCAUCAGCUCCAAGGUGUUCGGAGACAUCCUGGACUUCGCCUACACGUCGCGCAUCGUGGUGCGGCUGGAGAGCUUCCCGGAGCUCAUGACGGCCGCCAAGUUCCUGCUGAUGCGCUCUGUGAUCGACAUCUGCCAGGAGGUCAUCAAGCAGUCCAACGUGCAGCUCCUCGUGCCCCCCGCACGCCCUGACAUCAUGCUGUUCCGUCCGGGUGCUGCUGACCUCGGCUUCCCUCUUGACAUGACCAACGGUGCCACUUUGGCACCCAAUGGCAAUGGCAUUGCUGGCAUGCCUGAAGACGAGGCCACGCGGGCUGCGCUCAGCGCUGCGCAGUCCUCGCUGCCUGUCCUGCAGGGUGUGGACCGCCUGCCCAUGGUGGCAGGACCUCUGUCCCCACCGCUGCUGGCCUCACCCUUCCAGAAUGUUGCUGCUAGUGCCCCCACUUUAAGCACCAAGAGGGGCAGAGGGCGUCCCCGUAAAGCCAACCUCUUGGACUCCAUGAUGUUCGGUAGCCCAGGGGGCCUGCGAGAGGCUGGUAUCCUGCCUUGCGGUCUCUGUGGGAAAGUAUUCACGGAUGCGAAUCGUCUUCGGCAGCACGAGGCUCAACAUGGGGUGACAAGCUUACAGCUGGGCUACAUAGACAUCCCACCCCCGCGACUGGGUGAAAACGGUGUUCCUGGUCAGGACGACCCUGACGCACCUCGAAAAAGAAGCAGGACGAGGAAACAGGUGGCCUGUGAGAUCUGUGGCAAGAUUUUUCGGGACGUGUACCACCUGAAUCGGCACAAGCUGUCACACUCUGGCGAAAAGCCUUACUCUUGUCCCGUGUGUGGCUUGCGGUUCAAGCGAAAAGACAGGAUGUCCUAUCAUGUUCGAUCGCAUGAUGGCUCUGUGGGAAAGCCCUACAUCUGCCAGAGCUGUGGAAAAGGCUUUUCCAGGCCAGACCACUUGAAUGGACACAUCAAACAGGUGCAUACCUCAGAGAGACCUCACAAGUGUCAGCAGGAAAAUGGCAGCCACCAUGGAAUAAGCUCAGAGACAUCCACAUCCAUAGAAAAGUUGAAACUUCAAGAGACUUGUAAUGCUUCCUUUGCCACUCGUGACCGGCUGCGCUCACACCUGGCGUGUCACGAAGACAAAGUCCCCUGCCAGGUGUGUGGGAAGUACUUGAGAGCAGCAUAUAUGGCAGAUCACUUGAAGAAGCAUAGUGAAGGACCAAGCAAUUUCUGCACUAUCUGUAACCGAGGUUUCUCCUCUGCCUCCUACUUAAAGGUCCAUGUUAAAACCCACCACGGUGUUCCCCUUCCCCAGGUCUCCAGGCACCAGGAGUCCAUCCCGAAUGGGGGAGCAGCGUUCCACUGCGGCAGGACCUAUGGCAUCAAAGAAGGCCAGAAAUGUUCACAUUCGGACCCGAUUGAGAGUUCUGAUUCAUAUGGAGACCUCUCUGACACCAGUGACCUCAAGACUCCUGAGAAACAGAGCACCAAUGGGUCCUUCUCGUGUGACCUGGCAGUCAGCAAAAACAAAAUGGAGAUGGAAGGAGAGAAGAAGUACCCGUGCCCCGAAUGCGGCAGCUUUUUCAGAUCAAAGUCUUAUCUGAACAAACACAUACAGAAAGUGCACGUCAGGGCCCUUGGUGGCCCACUGGGGGACCUGGGUCCUGCUCUGGGAUCCCCCUUCUCACCCCAACAGAACAUGUCUCUUCUGGAGUCGUUUGGGUUUCAGAUCGUCCAGUCAGCAUUUGCAUCAUCCCUAGUGGAUCCAGAGGACCUGUUGUAGUGAAUUGCUACUGAAAAGCCAGUCUAAGGCGAUACACAGAGCACUCGUAAAGCAGCAGUCACAUUAGGCACCAGCACUUUCUAAAUUGAGAGCAUGUUGCAGUGGACUUGAUGUUUUGCUAUUAAUCUGUGUUGGGAGACUGAAGGACAUGUUCUUCUCCAGUCAUCUCCUCCCAGAAUCCUGGAAUAGGUAUGAGCCUCAUUUAAAAGGAAAAACCAGUGAAACAAACAAACCCCACCACUAAAGCUUCAUGGAAUUGCUCUUGUACUGGUAAGAUUAGUAGACAGGUAAAAACAGAACAUCUUAGAAAAGUGACAAAACAGUUUAAAAUACCUUACAAAUCUAGUGCUGAGACAACCUUGUAAGCUGCCAAGCAAAUCAGGAAAGAGCAGGCUUUCCAGUCAGCACAACAAUUUGUUGGGAUUAGCAAAUGCAGCUGCAGUCACUGAUUUACUAAUAGCUUAUAAUUAAUCCACAAGGGAAACUUCUGUUGAACUGAGGCUGUAUGCUGAAAGGCAGAAGUUUUUGUCCCCAGUGUUCCUAUAUGCACUCAAAGGUGCAUUAAUCAUAACAUUCAACUCCAAAAGCUAAGUCCAGAGUACAGAAUACUUUCAUCCUACAUUUAGCUCCCUGACUUUACUGUUACAAGUGGGUUGAAUUUUGGCUGUAUCUAUCAGAAUUUAAUUUUGAAUGCUACAGGAUUCGACCUGGUGAAACAAAAGCCUUUAUCUGAAAACGAAGCCUUCAAAAACACUGUGUAGUCUGCUUGUCAAAGAAAAUGCUUACUAAGUUGUCAUGAAUACAUUGAAUGAAAACUACUUACUUCUCAGUCUAGUGGACAGGGAAACAAUUAGGCAGGGGGUUAACAAUCCUGAAAUUACAGUUCUAGAUCAUCCUAGUGUAAAUGGAAGAGAUUUGUACCAACACUGGAGGUUGGUGCAGGCUAGUGCCAGUAGGAAGUUGGGCAGAUCUUUAGCUGUGGUGUGUUUUCAGAGCUUUUUGCUUCUUUGGGGGCAUACUGUUCCAUUCUGGACAGUAAUUUAAUCUACAUGCAAAUUCUUUCUAUUCUGUACUUUGGGAAAUGUCUGGUUCUUAUAGAACAUGAGACAGAUCUAAAGAGAAAACUCAGCCUCACAGUUCAGAGUUCAAAGGGAAGUAUGUAACAUGCCUUGAGCUGCAGCUUGUUGCUCCUGCAUUUUAUUUUUAAUUGGUGUGUAGAUGAUAGUUCUGAUUUGGGCCACUCUCUCUUCCUUGCCUUCCCCUUUGCAGGGACUGCAAGCCAAUGUUUGAGUUGGUGCACAUGUCAAGAAAGAAACUUCAAUUCAUGUAAAUUUAUAUCAUCAGACUUGUAGCAUUUGUUUGUAUUAUAGGAGUCCCAUAACCUCUCAUCUGAGGCUCAAGCCUUGUGUAUUAGGUGUGAUGAAAACAUCUUCAAUCAUUCAUAAUCUAAAUAUUAAAGACAGACAAGAAAGGAAUAGAUGCUUAUAAGAGAAUGAGUGAAAGAUAAAGGACUAAAAACCACUUGCAUGCAUGAUUAAGUGUUGUCUUAAAUGUGGGGGUCAUAAACUUCUCAGGCUUCUUUUGUUGCCUGAAUUUUUAAAUGGUAAUCCAGAACAAAUGCAAGGUAAAGCAAUUUAAUGUGAAUUUAUUCCCUACUGAGUUAAAUUAGGUGACAUGACCUUGCAUUUGUCAUGUCUUAAAUGUGUGCAAACAAUGUGGCUCACCUGACACGUGGCAAUGUGCAUGUGAGCUCUCAAUCCUAAGUGAUUUGCCCAUGAUGAUAUGGGAAAUUGAUAGCAGAACCAGAAAUUGAACACAGAUUUUUCCUUCUCUCAAUCCAGUGCCUUAAUUAUAGUAGGGCAAAGUAUUAUAUGUUGGGGGGAUGAGGUUUUUUUGGUUUUUAAAGCCUAAAACUAUUAAGAUGGUGUGGAGUUGGUCUUCCUACCAAUCUUUUGAAUAAUUGUAAAUGCCCAGUCACAAUUUUAGACCUGUUUGAGUGCCAGUGACUUAGGGAAUAUUUGUUAUUUCCCAUGUAUUCCCUGAAAUUAUUGUUCCUCCCUCAACUGCUGUCAGCAGUAAGGAAUGACUUGAAUAGAGAGCUGUGUAACUGAAUGUCUAUAACUCAACUAAUUGAAUUGCUAGUAUGAAAGCUAACCUAGAUUUUGUAGGCUCUGUUGUAACUUUAGUGUCUUGUUUUUUCACUAAAUCUUUGUUCCUAGAAUUCAGUAUCUAAAUUUACGUCUUGAGUCGGGAGUGGGGUACCACUUUCAGCUUUAAUUUUUUUUAAGGUGCUUGCUUGAGGAAGUAGAUGCCAAAGUAAACUUCAAAGGAACUCCAGACUUCAGUGUUGGAAGAAUGAAUGGAGAGCAAGAGCUCUCCUUGGGUUUCAUGAGAGAUAAAUGGACAAAGUCAAAAACAGCCACAAAAAUUCUAAAUAAUGAAACAGGAAAGGUUUUUCUUUACCAUCCACAAAAAUAAUAAAAUAUUUUCCAUUGUCACCAUGGCAUAAAAUCUGAGAGCAAGUGCCAAUCAACACAAUGUGCUGGCUUUUUCAGCAUUAUGAUUAUACCUUAACAGCACUGUCAAUACCAAAUGUAAAUUAAGCCAGCUUAGUACUGCUCACCUUUUUUCUUGGGCACAAUACCUGAGUUUUAUUUGAAUAGAGCAGAAGCUCACAGUGAAUCUCUGAGCUGAGGCUCUCAACUCUGCCCUGAGAGACGAAACAAAUGAGCAAAGAGGGGGAAAAAUAAACCCACUAGGAAAACUUAAAAAGGAAAACAAAUUCUGGAAGGCUCCAGUGUCUCUUGAAAGAGUCUCUUUUUUUUGUCCUGAACAUCCUUUUCAAAACAAGAUCCUUCAGCUGUUGUGAAUGAGCCCUUGGGAACAGAUUUGGCUUCCAGCCCAAUCUGCUGCAGCUCCCUGUCCCUGUGAGAAGGCAGCAUGUUCUGAGGACUGAGCCUGGGGUGCACAGGGAGGGGACAGGCAGUGCUCCUGGGCUGCAGCCACAGGUACAGGUACAGAGUCAGCCCCAGCACUGGCAGAGUGCUGUGUGCCUGCUGCUUUCAUCCUCACCCUCCACACCUCCUGUGCACACACUCGGGUGUGUGCAGCUCUGCAAAGAGCUGUUGGCUGUAAAACAAAGCAGGAGCUAUUUGGCUGAGAAGAAAAAAGAAAAAGCAGCACUUUAAAAUUAGAGUGCUAUGACAUAACUGCAGAGUGAUGCAGCCCAGGAGCAGGAGCCCUGGCUGUGAGGGCUUGUGGUGAUGGUUGGAAUGGUUAUGGCAUGUCAGUGAGAAACCACAGCUGUGCACUCUGUGGUGGCAGGCAGUGAUGGCCUGUUUGCCAAGAAUUAACUCCCUCUGUCAUCUCUAGCCUCUUCCUGUGUUGUGUUCCUGUCUGUGAGAUGAAAUGAUGAUAACCUUUGGGUAAAAACGUGCCAAUAUUUAAUUGAUGUGCCAAAUUGUGCUGCACAAUUUUGCUGCUGAACUCUGUCACAAAUGUUUGGCCUCACUGACUUCAGAUGUAAUGCAAAGUUAAACAUUUGGCCACAUUUUUCCUGAAAGGUGGGAUAUUUAAAUUUAUUUAAAGACUGCCUGGCACUAUUGAUCUGCUCUCAGGGUUUAUGUGAACGAAGCUUUUCCUGAGUGACCUCCAUACUUUUACUGCAAUUUUGAAGACCUGGAAGUGCUCUGAGCCAAGCUAUGCUGAAGGAGGGAGGUACCUGGAGUCUCACUGAUGUUCCAGUGACUCCCUCCCAGCUCCUGUGUUCCAUGUGGACCAUGGAGUCACUUCAUGCAGCCACUGGCAGCCAAAAAUGCUCUUGAGCAUCCUGCAGUCACAUAGUGACCUUGGGUAAGUGAUUUUAUAAUAAAUCAAUCUCAUGCUUGCUAAUACCUUUUUGGCUGCUGUGUCUACAAACUGGUGCCUUCUCCAGGCAAAUUUUACAUGCCCUCUGCAAAGUUGUCAGACUGACUGCUGGCUCUUAAGGAAUCAACCAAGCCUUGCUCUUGGGCUCAGAAUUUUUCUUUGGUACUGUUGUAAUCUGAAAGUUUGCUGCAAUUAGUGCAAAUACCAGAGUAAGAGAGAAAAUAAAAGGCUGUUCUUAGAUGUCUUGUAGAGUGAACAACUGAAACAUGAGUGUGGGAUGAGCCAGGAAAACUGGUAUUUUCCCCUGGCUGCACGCCAUAUGGAAGAGACAGUGCCUUGGAAGGGAAGGAGCAGAAAAGUUUGUCAUUGGCUCUGAUGAAUCCCAAUCCUGCUUCUACUGAAGUUGCUGGGAAUUCUCCCAUUGUCUUCAGUGGAGCAAGAAAGGAUCUUAGGUGAGGAUGGAUGACUCUUUCCCUACUUGAAUGAAGUCUCUUGCCUAUUUAUGGGCCUGCUUCUAUUGAAACCGAGCCUGUUUUAGCCUUUUUGGGUUCUUAGGGACCUGUUUGUAUAAAGCAACUUACCUACCUAUCUUUUUUUUUCUAUUGUGUGUAUUUUUUGUAUGUUCUGUUGGAAGGUGAAGCCUCUGUAGAAGGGGAUACAAAACCUGAUUUUUAAAUAGUAAUAAACCAAAAGAGAAUUAAACUCUGCAGGCUGCAUGCAUUCAUUUCCUGGAGAUGGAGAGUAGAGACCAUGAGUGCACAGAGAUGGCCUGGACUUCUCAUGUCUCAAAAUCUUCCUCUUUUCAGAGACAAUUCUGCCUUUGCACAUUUCCACAGCUCUAUGUGAGAAAUCAUAGUGUGGUGGGCAGGUUGCACAACUGUGUAUCAGGAUUGCCUUAUUUCGACUAGGAAAUCCUUUCUCUGGCACUGUGUGGUGAGAUUUCUUGUUUCAGCGUAAGUGGAUGAGUAUCUGUGAAGUUUGGUAUUGUCCUCACUGAAUGGCAGUGAAAUAAAACUGAGGUCAUUAAUAAAUAGA